GACGUAGGGCGCGAGCGUUGUCCGGAUUUAUUGGGCGUAAAGAGCGUGUAGGCGGCCAGAUAGGUCCGUUGUGAAAACUGGAGGCUUAACCUCCAGCUGUCGAUGGAAACCAUCUGGCUAGAGUCCGGAAGAGGAGAGUGGAAUUCCUGGUGUAGCGGUGAAAUGCGCAGAUAUCAGGAAGAACACCCGUGGCGAAGGCGGCUCUCUGGGACGGUACUGACGCUGAGACGCGAAAGCGUGGGGAGCGAACAGG
rnacentral:rRNA from 1 species